rnacentral:rRNA from 1 species
CCUACGGGAGGCUGCAGUCGAGGAUCUUCGGCAAUGGGCGCAAGCCUGACCGAGCGACGCCGCGUGCGCGAUGAAGGCCUUCGGGUUGUAAAGCGCUGUCGAGGGGGAGAAAAGCCGGGUCACACCAGCUUGAUCGACCCCUGGAGGAAGCACGGGCUAAGUUCGUGCCAGCAGCCGCGGUAAGACGAACCGUGCGAACGUUGUUCGGAAUCACUGGGCUUAAAGGGCGCGUAGGCGGCCCGCCCAGUCCGAGGUGAAAGCCCCCGGCUCAACCGGGGAAGGGCCUUGGAUACUGGCGGGCUCGAGGGGGAUAGGGGCGGACGGAACUUCCGGUGGAGCGGUGAAAUGCGUUGAUAUCGGAAGGAACGCCGGUGGCGAAAGCGGUCCGCUGGGUCCCCCCUGACGCUGAGGCGCGAAAGCCAGGGGAGCAAACGGGAUUA